CGUUUAUGAGGUCCCACUUUCCUGUCUGUAUUUGGACUGAAAAUCAAGACCAAGCCAUUUUGGGCUUGACUCCGGGAGCACGACCCUCUACCCUCCCUCAGCUCACCUUAGACUACCUGCAUUUUGAUAGGACCCGACCAUGUUGUCCAGUGACGGAUCUCAGCUCAGUGAGCAUCCCCCACCGGGACUUGCCAAAAAAAAGGGAAGCCAACUCUAGGAAUGAGGCUACGACUGAUAGGACCACCAGAGAUGGGAUGCGAGGUGGAUAGGGUGAAUACCCGAAUGUCUACAAAGGUUGAUCGCACACCGCCCAAUCUGGGGAGUCCAAACCCUUCUCACCCACAGAACACAAAGUUAACCCCAAGGAUGGUCAGAUUUGUUUCAGCUUGGACCCCAGAUUCAUCCAGUCGGCUUUCCGCCGCUGCGACGGCAGGUUAGGAGGGGAAUUCCCAGCACGGACCAAGUCCCCGCCCCUGCAGAGGGUACAAAAAGCAAGCCUGAUUGACCGCAUAAGAAACAGAAGAGUAGUCCCUGGAAAAGGCUUGCCCUGACAGUGUCACUGAUGGGAGACCAAGUCCCUGAAAAAGGCUCUUCUCUCAGGCCUGCCCUUUGGACUAGCGGCAGCCAGAGAUGCUCUGAAGUACGUCAGAAGGUGAGCUUUCUCAUGAACGACUCUAG